UAGGUUCGCUAGUAUCAAUUGGUACCCUGGU
rnacentral:piRNA from 1 species